AUUGAACGCUGGCGGCAGGCUUAACACAUGCAAGUCGAGCGGAGAUGAGGUGCUUGCACCUUAUCUUAGCGGCGGACGGGUGAGUAAUGCUUAGGAAUCUGCCUAUUAGUGGGGGACAACAUUCCGAAAGGAAUGCUAAUACCGCAUACGCCCUACGGGGGAAAGCAGGGGAUCUUCGGACCUUGCGCUAAUAGAUGAGCCUAAGUCGGAUUAGCUAGUUGGUGGGGUAAAGGCCUACCAAGGCGACGAUCUGUAGCGGGUCUGAGAGGAUGAUCCGCCACACUGGGACUGAGACACGGCCCAGACUCCUACGGGAGGCAGCAGUGGGGAAUAUUGGACAAUGGGCGGAAGCCUGAUCCAGCCAUGCCGCGUGUGUGAAGAAGGCCUUUUGGUUGUAAAGCACUUUAAGCGAGGAGGAGGCUACCUGGAUUAAUACUCUAGGAUAGUGGACGUUACUCGCAGAAUAAGCACCGGCUAACUCUGUGCCAGCCGCCGCCGUAACAC
rnacentral:rRNA from 1 species